rnacentral:rRNA from 1 species
UACGAAGGGGGCUAGCGUUGCUCGGAUUUACUGGGCGUAAAGGGAGCGUAGGCGGAACGACAAGUCAGGUUUUAAAGCCUGGGGCUCAACCCCAGAUCUGGACUGGAGACUGGUGAUCUGGAUUCGUGGAGAGGCAACUGGAAUUCCUGGUGUAGCGGUGGAAUGCGUAGAUACCAGGAGGAACACCAGUUGCGAAGGCGGCUCUCUGGACUGUAACUGACACUGAGGCACGAAAGCGUGGGGAGCAAACAGG